rnacentral:rRNA from 1 species
AUGACGCCCACCAUAGCCACUGCUCUGGUGCUCGCACUGACCCUUGCACACCAUGCCUCCCUUGCCGCCGCCGCCGGCCCCAGGGUCAUCAUCGUCGGCGCCGGCAUGUCCGGGAUCUCGGCUGGGAAGCGGCUGUCGGAGGCCGGGAUAACGGACCUGGUGAUCCUGGAGGCGACGGACCACGUCGGCGGGAGGAUGCGCAAGCACAACUUCGGCGGCGUCAGCGUGGAGAUCGGCGCCAACUGGGUGGAGGGCGUCAACGGCGGCAAGAUGAACCCCAUCUGGCCCCUCGUCAACUCCACGCUCAAGCUCAGGAACUUCCGCUCCGACUUCGACGGCCUCGCGGAGAACGUCUACAAGGAGAAGGGCGGCAUCUACGGCAGAGCGUACGUGCAGAAGAGACUCGACCGGUUGGACGAGGUGGAAGAGGGCGGCGCGAAGCUCCCCGCCAAGCUGCGCCCCAGCGGCCAGGACGACAUGUCCAUCCUCGCCAUGCAACGCCUCAACAACCACAUGCCCAACGGGCCGGCGUCGCCGGUGGACAUGAUCCUGGACUACUUCAAGCACGACUACGAGUUCGCGGAGCCGCCGCGGGUGACCAGCCUGCAGAACGUGGUCCCUCUCGCCACCUUCAGGGACUUCGGGGACGACGUCUACUUCGUCGCCGACCAGCGCGGCUACGAGGCCGUCGUGCACCACCUCGCCGGCCAGUACCUCAAGGCCGACAAGUCCGGUGACAUCGUCGACCCCCGCCUCCAGCUCAACAAGGCACAAAAAGAGAUCUCCCACUCCGGGAGCGGCGUCGCCGUCAAGACGGAGGAAAAAAAGGUGUACAAGGCUGACUACGUCAUGGUCUCCACCAGCGUGGGGGUCCUGCAGUCCGAUCUCAUACAGUUUAAGCCACGGCUUCCUGCGUGGAAGAUCCUCUCGAUCUACCAGUUCGACAUGGCCGUGUACACCAAGAUCUUCGUCAAGUUCCCCCGCAAGUUCUGGCCCGAAGGGAAAGGGAGGGAGUUCUUCCUCUACGCGAGCAGCAGGAGAGGCUACUACGGGGUGUGGCAGGAGUUUGAGGCGCAAUACCCAGACGCCAACGUUCUCCUGGUCACCGUCACCGACGAGGAGUCGAGGCGGAUCGAGCAGCAGUCGGACAACCAGACCAAGGCGGAGAUUGUGGAGGUGCUGAGGAGCAUGUUCCCCGGCGAGGACGUCCCCGACGCGACGGACAUACUCGUGCCGCGGUGGUGGUCCAACAGGUUCUACAGGGGCACCUUCUCCAACUGGCCCAUCGGCGUCAACCGCUACGAAUACGACCAGCUCAGGUCACCGGUCGGCAGGGUUUACUUCACCGGGGAGCACACCAGCGAGCACUACAAUGGUUAUGUCCAUGGAGCUUAUCUUUCAGGUAUUGACUCUGCAGAUAUUCUGAUCAAGUGUGCCCAGAAGAGGAUGUGCAAAUACCACAUCCCGGGCAAAUUUGACUAG